rnacentral:rRNA from 1 species
GAUGAACGCUGGCGGCGUGCUUAACACAUGCAAGUCGAACGGUGAAGGCGGAGCUUGCUCUGCUGGAUCAGUGGCGAACGGGUGAGUAACACGUGAGCAAUCUGCCCCUGACUCUGGGAUAAGCUCUGGAAACGGCGUCUAAUACUGGAUACGAGCUGCCAAGGCAUCUUCAGCAGCUGGAAAUAAUUUCGGUCAGGGAUGAGCUCGCGGCCUAUCAGCUUGUUGGUGAGGUAAUGGCUCACCAAGGCGUCGACGGGUAGCCGGCCUGAGAGGGUGACCGGCCACACUGGGACUGAGACACGGCCCAGACUCCUACGGGAGGCAGCAGUGGGGAAUAUUGCACAAUGGGCGAAAGCCUGAUGCAGCAACGCCGCGUGAGGGACGACGGCCUUCGGGUUGUAAACCUCUUUUAGCAGGGAAGAAGCGAAAGUGACGGUACCUGCAGAAAAAGCGCCGGCUAACUACGUG